rnacentral:rRNA from 1 species
UUUGGUUAAGUUAGAAAGGGCGCACGGUGGAUGCCUUGACACUAGGAGUCGAUGAAGGACGGGACUAACGCCGAUAUGCUUCGGGGAGCUGUAAGUAAGCUUUGAUCCGAAGAUUUCCGAAUGGGGAAACCCACCAUACGUAAUGGUAUGGUAUCCUUAUCUGAAUACAUAGGGUAAGGAAGACAGACCCAGGGAACUGAAACAUCUAAGUACCUGGAGGAAGAGAAAGCAAAUGCGAUUUCCUGAGUAGCGGCGAGCGAAACGGAACAUAGCCCAAACCAAGAGGCUUGCCUCUUGGGGUUGUAGGACAUUCUAUACGGAGUUACAAAGGAACGAGGUAGACGAAGCGACCUGGAAAGGUCCGUCGUAGAGGGUAACAACCCCGUAGUCGAAACUUCGUUCUCUCUUGAAUGUAUCCUGAGUACGGCGGAACACGUGAAAUUCCGUCGGAAUCUGGGAGGACCAUCUCCCAAGGCUAAAUACUCCCUAGUGAUCGAUAGUGAACCAGUACCGUGAGGGAAAGGUGAAAAGCACCCCGGAAGGGGAGUGAAAGAGAUCCUGAAACCGUGUGCCUACAAAUAGUCAGAGCCCGUUAAUGGGUGAUGGCGUGCCUUUUGUAGAAUGAACCGGCGAGUUACGAUCCCGUGCGAGGUUAAGCUGAAGAGGCGGAGCCGCAGCGAAAGCGAGUCUGAAUAGGGCGUUUAGUACGUGGUCGUAGACCCGAAACCAGGUGAUCUACCCAUGUCCAGGGUGAAGUUCAGGUAACACUGAAUGGAGGCCCGAACCCACGCACGUUGAAAAGUGCGGGGAUGAGGUGUGGGUAGCGGAGAAAUUCCAAUCGAACCUGGAGAUAGCUGGUUCUCCCCGAAAUAGCUUUAGGGCUAGCCUUAAGUGUAAGAGUCUUGGAGGUAGAGCACUGAUUGGACUAGGGGUCCUCAUCGGAUUACCGAAUUCAGUCAAACUCCGAAUGCCAAUGACUUAUCCUUAGGAGUCAGACUGCGAGUGAUAAGAUCCGUAGUCAAAAGGGAAACAGCCCAGACCGCCAGCUAAGGUCCCAAAGUGUGUAUUAAGUGGAAAAGGAUGUGGAGUUGCUUAGACAACUAGGAUGUUGGCUUAGAAGCAGCCACCAUUUAAAGAGUGCGUAAUAGCUCACUAGUCGAGUGACUCUGCGCCGAAAAUGUACCGGGGCUAAAUACACCACCGAAGCUGCGGAUUGAUACCAAUGGUAUCAGUGGUAGGGGAGCGUUCUAAGGACAGUGAAGUCAGACCGGAAGGACUGGUGGAGUGCUUAGAAGUGAGAAUGCCGGUAUGAGUAGCGAAAGACGGGUGAGAAUCCCGUCCACCGAAUGCCUAAGGUUUCCUGAGGAAGGCUCGUCCGCUCAGGGUUAGUCAGGACCUAAGCCGAGGCCGACAGGCGUAGGCGAUGGACAACAGGUUGAUAUUCCUGUACCACCUCUUUAUCGUUUGAGCAAUGGAGGGACGCAGAAGGAUAGAAGAAGCGUGCGAUUGGUUGUGCACGUCCAAGCAGUUAGGCUGAUAAGUAGGCAAAUCCGCUUAUCGUGAAGGCUGAGCUGUGAUGGGGAAGCUCCUUAUGGAGCGAAGUCUUUGAUUCCCCGCUGCCAAGAAAAGCUUCUAGCGAGAUAAAAGGUGCCUGUACCGCAAACCGACACAGGUAGGCGAGGAGAGAAUCCUAAGGUGUGCGAGAGAACUCUGGUUAAGGAACUCGGCAAAAUGACCCCGUAACUUCGGGAGAAGGGGUGCUUUCUUAACGGAAAGCCGCAGUGAAUAGGCCCAAGCGACUGUUUAGCAAAAACACAGCUCUCUGCGAAGCCGUAAGGCGAAGUAUAGGGGGUGACACCUGCCCGGUGCUGGAAGGUUAAGGAGAGGGGUUAGCGUAAGCGAAGCUCUGAACUGAAGCCCCAGUAAACGGCGGCCGUAACUAUAACGGUCCUAAGGUAGCGAAAUUCCUUGUCGGGUAAGUUCCGACCCGCACGAAAGGUGUAACGAUUUGGGCACUGUCUCAACCAGAGACUCGGUGAAAUUAUAGUACCUGUGAAGAUGCAGGUUACCCGCGACAGGACGGAAAGACCCCGUGGAGCUUUACUGUAGCCUGAUAUUGAAUUUUGGUACAGUUUGUACAGGAUAGGCGGGAGCCUUUGAAACCGGAGCGCUAGCUUCGGUGGAGGCGCUGGUGGGAUACCGCCCUGACUGUAUUGAAAUUCUAACCUACGGGUCUUAUCGACCCGGGAGACAGUGUCAGGUGGGCAGUUUGACUGGGGCGGUCGCCUCCUAAAGUGUAACGGAGGCGCCCAAAGGUUCCCUCAGAAUGGUUGGAAAUCAUUCGUAGAGUGCAAAGGCAUAAGGGAGCUUGACUGCGAGACCUACAAGUCGAGCAGGGACGAAAGUCGGGCUUAGUGAUCCGGUGGUUCCGCAUGGAAGGGCCAUCGCUCAACGGAUAAAAGCUACCCCGGGGAUAACAGGCUUAUCUCCCCCAAGAGUCCACAUCGACGGGGAGGUUUGGCACCUCGAUGUCGGCUCAUCGCAUCCUGGGGCUGUAGUCGGUCCCGAGGGUUGGGCUGUUCGCCCAUUAAAGCGGUACGCGAGCUGGGUUCAGAACGUCGUGAGACAGUUCGGUCCCUAUCCGUCGUGGGCGUAGGAAAUUUGAGAGGAGCUGUCCUUAGUACGAGAGGACCGGGAUGGACGCACCGCUGGUGUACCAGUUGUUCUGCCAAGGGCAUAGCUGGGUAGCUAUGUGCGGAAGGGAUAAGUGCUGAAAGCAUCUAAGCAUGAAGCCCCCCUCAAGAUGAGAUUUCCCAUAGCGUAAGCUAGUAAGAUCCCUGAAAGAUGAUCAGGUUGAUAGGUUCGAGGUGGAAGCAUGGUGACAUGUGGAGCUGACGAAUACUAAUAGAUCGAGGACUUAACCAUAUAA